rnacentral:rRNA from 1 species
GACGAACGCUGGCGGCGUGCUUAACACAUGCAAGUCGAACGAAGUGGCGAACGGGUGAGUAACGCGUAAUCAACUGGCCCUUCGGAGGGGGACAACAGUUGGAAACGACUGCUAAUCCCCCAUACUGAAGGAGGGGAUUGCGUGGGAUUAGCUAGUUGGGGGGGUAACGGCCCACCAAGGCGAUGAGCAGUAGCCGGUCUGGGAGGAUGGACGGCCACAUUGGGACUGGGACACGGCCCAGACCCCUACGGGAGGCAGCAGUGGGGGAUCAUUCGCAAUUGAGGGAAGGCUGACGGAGCACCGCCGCGUGGUUGAAGACGGCCUUCGGGGUGUAAAGCUCUGUUAAGCGGGACGCGGUACCGGAAUAGAAAGCAACGGCUAACUCCGUGCCAGCAGCCGCGGUAAUUC